GCAUGGGAAAAAGUCAUAAAAGCAAAUGUGUGAAUAAACCUGGCAGUUGACCUCCAAGCUAUGUGUCGUCUAGUUCUUGGAGGGAAGGGAUUGUAACUACGCUACCUGUUUUGUACCUGUCUUGGAUUGCUGUUCCUGUCUACCAGUGGAGCUACCUUGGAUAAUACCUCUACUCCGCUACAAUUGGUGGCAAGCGACGGGAUCGUACUACACAGCAAAAAGGAGUCAGCAGGAAUUAAAAAGGACUGAAUGGAAACGGAUUAUACCCUCUUAAAACGGGACACGCUAAGAGAGCUACUAGAAGCGAGAGGGAGGAUAGCAAGCAACAAAACAAAGGCUAUCCUAAUCGCAGAACUCAUGGAAGGAGACAGAGUCGCAGCUGCUGCAGCACCUCCAAGGGAGGAGGAAUCUGAGUUUGCCAGGGAAUAUAGGUGCAGGAUGGCUCUAUUCCCACCAGACAUAGCAGCGCAGAAGGCAGACCAGAUUUACAAUGAUGUACAGGCAUACAUCAUGCUGCGAACGACACCGAGGAACCAACAAGAGGGGGAAGGAAUCGCAACGGCUGUCCCCACCCCGCCAGCAAAAGCUAAAAUACCGUAUCAGGCAUUUAAAGCAUUUAAUGAUACCGAGGGGGACAUUGAUGGCUAUUUACAGGACUUUGAACGGUUGUGCCAGCUACAUGCCAUUAGCACCGAAGACCAAGUGCCCCUGCUAGCGGGUAACCUGUCAGGCCGCGCCGCAGAUGCCUACCGAGCCAUGCCGGCAGAGGACAUCCGGGACUAUCAGAAGGUAAAACAAACCUUGCUCGCACGAUAUGCCAUUACACCUGAGGCAUACCGAAUACAGUUCCGGAAACUACUCAAACCGGGAAAAGACUCGCAUGCAGAAUUCGCACACCGACUACAACGGGCAGCCACCGGGUGGAUAGAGGCAGCAAAAGCCAUCACGUCCCAAGAGAUCACGCAGUUGAUGGUGCUGGAACAAUUCUACCAAUGUUUGUCAGAAGAUCUACAGAUCUGGGUAAGAGAUCGUAAACCCCGCACGCUGCAAGAGGCCGCUAAGUUAGCAGAUGAGCAUCAGGACACCCGGCGGGAACAGCACUCAUCUACUAGAGUGCAAUCCACGCCAAACGUUCCCCGACUUACCCCAGUAGAUUCACCCCGACCAGGGGGGACCUACCAGUCACAACCCCCCCGGUACAACAACAGGGCAUCUAUCCGGUGCCAUACCUGUAACCAGCUUGGGCAUAUGCAACGAGACUGUCCCCGAAACCGGGCCAGGCCGGCCUGGACCCCUCCACGACCACCAACCACCCCUGGAGCCGCAGUCCACUGCUAUCAGGCCAGAGCAUUGGCUCAACCUUUCACCCCUACCCAAAUAGAGGAACCCUUGGGCACCCUCCAUGAGGUAAACCCGGUACAGGCGGCAUCCGACAAGUGGUCCACGUGGAGGGAAAGCGGAUGGAGGGAUUACGAGAUUCUGGGGCCACCAUCACUCUGAUACGGAAUCAUUUAGUGGCCCCGAACCAUCUCACUGGAGACUGUAUUGCGGUUAGGGUGGCAGGGGGAGCCAUUUACAAAGUACCCACUGCGAAACUACAUUUGGACUGGGGAGCGGGGGCAGGGCAAAUUGAAGUGGGGAUGAUGCAGGACCUACCUGCGGAUGUGAUUUUGGGGAACGACUUGGGGGAGCUAACCUCCGCUUUUGUUACCCGACCUCCUCCACAGGAGGCAUACCCGGUCGUCACCCGUCAACAGGCUCGCACCACGGCACCACACAUCGACUCUGAGGCUCCGGUAAGCCCGAACCCCCCUGAUCACACUGUGUUACCCUGGGCCGGUAUCAGGCGUGGGUAAUCCGCUGUCAGUUCCAGCAGCCGAGGGAACCAAGGCCGAGACCGCCAUAGUGGUGUGAUCAGUACCAACGAGCCGCCGUGUUGCGUCAGUUUCGACAGCGUGCGAGUGUGGCAGAAGCAGCCACAAGAGACUGUACCUGCAUUAUUAUUGCGUUGUAUUUGUCCUAAUAAUCGCUGAAUACCUGGUAUGCGAACCGCUGGAAAGUGCCGAAUGCACGACCACCCUGCUGUGGUCGUGUGCUUCCCCUGUAUAGAGGGAAACAAUGUUGCCAGAGAGGUAAUUGGGUUCGUGGGUGGCCGCCGUUCGCACAAAACCCACGUGGCGGCGGCCAUCUUAACUGCCGAACAGCGGUGUCUGGUCGUCGAGCGCCUGGAACUAAAACCGGGCGCUCGACUACCCAGACACCGCUCAGACCUCCAGGACCACGGAACUGCCCGAUUCAAACUGCCGAACGGCCCGCCGUUCGGUAGGAUGAAUCCCCCAGACUAGGGGAUUCAUCCGAACCUAAGAUUAGAGCCGGAUGGCUGAACAUUCGGUACUUUCAGUUCAGUGUAAUAGACCGACCGCAGGGCCAGAAUCCAUGGAGCUGUUUUCGGCUACCAAAUCCCUGCGGUCGGUCAAAUCUUUGAAUGUCUGUAACUCCCAAACCCCUGGUCUGAUCUGGGUGAAAUUUGAGUAUGUUGCUCACCCAGACCAGACCAACCAGGGGACCCCUCAUUUGUCACCGUACCCCCUGUAUUUAGGGGACAUCCAGAAAUGGGGGAAAACUCUGUUCCCACUAAUGAGCUUAACUGGUAAUCUAAGGGGAGGAGAGGGAGAGGAGGUAACCACGAUGUGAUUGGAUAUGUUAAGUUACCUCCCUUGCAUGGGAAAAGGACAUAAAAGCAAAUGUGUGAAUAAACCUGGCAGUUGACCUCCAAGCUAUGUGUCGUCUAGUUCUUGGAGGGAAGGGAUUGUAACUACGCUACCUGUUUUGUACCUGUCUUGGAUUGCUGUUCCUGUCUACCAGUGGAGCUACCUUGGAUAAUACCUCUACUCCGCUACAGCGAGCUAUCAUAUUGAACGGGGGAAAAGCGUAGAGCCGAGUCUGCGGCCAGUCUUGAAGGAACGCAUCCGUUGCUACUGCCGCCGGAUCCGGUCUCCAACUGAAGAACUUGGGUACUUGCAAGUUGAGACGGGACGCGAAAAGGUCCACGUCGAAUGGGCCCCAAAUGUGGUCCAGACCCUGGAAGGCCGUAGCAUGCAAGCGCCAAUCUCCAGAAUCUCUCAAAUAGCGUGAGUUACAAUCGGCCGUUGAGUUGUCCAGACCCGGAAUAUGUUCCGCCUGCACGGAAAUGUUGUUGCGAAGGCAGAAUUGCCAGAAGUCCUUCGCCAUGAGAGCUAACAUGCGCGAUUUCGUGCCUCCCAGGUGAUUGAUGUAUCGGACCGCUGAUACAUUGUCCAUCUUGAGCAUCACGCAACAAUUCGCCCGUUCCGGCGUGAGGCUGCGAAUAGCGAAUGCACCUGCCAAUAGUUCCAGGCAGUUGAUAUGGAGUGUUCGUUCCUGAUUCGACCAUCUGCCUCCGGUAGAUGCGGCACCACAACGCGCGCCCCAGCCGUGUAAGCUGGCAUCUGACUCUAUCACGAUGUCCGGGACAGAACCGAAUAUGGCUCUCCCGUUCCAGGCGUCCAUGUGGGCCAGCCACCAGGUCAGCUCGUCUCUGGACUCGUCGUCGAGUCUCACUCUCUGUUCGUAAGAGUGGCCGGCACGUAGGUGAGAGCCUUUUAAGCGUUGAAGGGCCCGGUAAUGGAGAGGGCCAGGGAAAAUUGCUUGUAUUGAGGCGGCCAGGAGGCCGAUCACCCUCGCCAGAUGUCGGAUAGAGAUGUCGUCUGCACGUAGUGUACGUCUGAUUUCCUUCUUGAUCGCCUUUGUCUUGGAUUCCGGAAGGAACAGGAAUUGUUGGACGGAGUCCACUGUAAACCCCAGAAAUUCCAGCGUUUGGGUGGGGUCUAAUACCGACUUCUCCCAAUUGAUGAGAAAGCCUAGGUUCUGGAGUAAGGACGUAGUCCAUGAUACAUGAAUCGUCAGUAAUUCUCUUGACUGGGCCAUCAGCAAGAUGUCGUCCAAAUAGAUGAUCAGACGUACACCGCGACUCCGAAGGAAGGAUACCACAGGUUUCAUGACCUUGGUGAAGCACCAGGGGGCCGAGGAGAGACCGAAUGGCAGACAGGUAAACUUCCAGCGCUUUCCCUUCCAGGUGAAAUGGAGGAAAUCUCUGUGGGCCGAGGUUAUAGGCACCGUAAAAUAGGCGUCCUUGAGGUCUAGUUUGGCCAACCAGUCGGACUCCUGAAGGAGGUCUCGAAGGCAAUGGAUGCCCUCCAUCUGGAAAUGGCGAUACUGGAGAAAAGCAUUGAGGGGGCGGAGGUUGAUGACCGGACGCACACCCCCACCUUUCUUCGGGACUAGAAACAGGUUGCUUGUAAAGCCCUGUUGAGUAAACGGGACCUCUUGUAUUGCACCUUUGGUGCGUAGUUCCAUGAUCUCCGAAGAGAUCAAUUCUUCCUGCUCUCGAGCUAGCGAGAGUUCCCUGGGGACAAAAGUUUGAACAGGAAAAGACACAAAAUCUAUGUGGUAACCCUUCACUGUUUGAAGAACCCAAGCAUCUGCCGUCAGGGCCACCCAUGCCUCGUAAAACUGGGCCAAUCUGCCCGCCACCCGCUCUCGUGUAUGAUGGACAAAAGGGGUACUCACCAUAAGGGCGUCUGCCUGAUGAGGCACCUCUCGGGUAGCGGGGAUUCCAGGACCUCCCUCUGGAUGGGAAGAACGGAGCCGGUCUGGGCUCUUGGAAGUUUCUGGUAGGGAAAAAGGAGCCUCGCUGAGCUCGAUACGAACCCCGGAAUCCGCGGCCGGGUGGACGGCUCCUGUUGCGCCCGGCCCCUCCAAAAACUCUAGGGGAAAACACCCUCUUCAUAUUAGCCUGGGCCUUUCAAUGGCUGUGAAGGUUUUAACGUAAGACCCCAGGUCUCUUACGAAAUUAUCUCCAAAGAGCAUCCCCUCAGCCGAGGGACCAGGUUCGGAGACGGCCAUGGUAGCCAAUUUAGGAUCAAUCUUAAGCAGGAUUGCCUUCCUGCGCUCAGCGGAGACGGCCAUAUUAGCAUUGCCUAGUAGGCAAAUGGCACGUUGCACCCAACCGAUCGCUACAUCAAUAUCAAGCUCCGCGUCACCCGCCUUGGCGGCUUCCAAAACUUCAUAGGCCUUAGACAGAGGGCCAAUGGUGUCCAUAAUCUUGUCUUGACAAUGUCUCAGGGAAAAAUCAAGGCCCUUCUUUUGCUUCCAGCCUGAUUUGUUGAGGAACUGGGCAAUCUGAGGAUCGACCUCUGGCGUCUUACACGCCGAUCCUGGGACCGAAGGUCUAGGACAUUCAGCCCGUAGCUUACUGCGACUCUCCCUAAAGAGUGGCGUACGCAUCCUAAGCGCGAUAUAUUGGGCGAUAUGCUCAGGGGGUUCCCACUCAGCGGAACGAGGAUGGCGCAAGUCAUCCGGAUCAAACAGGGGGUUACCCUGCGGAUCCAGAAUCCCCACGUCGCCACUCGCCCUCUGGGCAGUAACACCCCCGGCAGGGAAAGCGCCCCCAGUACGGGGUGCUACGGCAGGGGGAGCUCCCUCCUCCGAGCCGGCUUCUUCAUCAGAAGCAUAGUUUAGUUCCUCAUACUCCUCCUCCUCACUCCGGUCGCUCUCUGACCUUUCAUCACGGGAUCUAGCCCGUUUCCAUAACCUGGCCGUUUUUGCCCGACCAGAGGCUCUUUUGCGCGGUGGGAGCGCGCCAUCUGUGACUGCCUCAGGCGAGUCCGUCAAGGCAGGUAAAACCUGCGUUAUGGAGUGGGAAGAGAGAUGUUUGGCCUUCACCUUGGCCUUACGGGCACCAGGUGGGGUAACAGGAGUAGGGUCCGUACCCAGUAGGGUAGGAUUAGCCACCUGGGGCAGCAAAAGAGACUGUGCUAGAGUCUGGGAAAAGGAGGAGGACAUAGCCCCCAUAGCAGAGGCGAGCGCUCUCUGGAGAGAGGACGCCAUAGUGGAGUCCAUCAGAGCCUGGAACUCCUCAGAAAUAACCUGACCCUCAGGUAAUUCCUGAUGGAAGUCAGUAACGCGGCCCUCAGGGCCAUCACCCUUAUCCUGCAUGACUACAGGAAAGGGUUAAACAGUAGGAGUAAAAAUACGACAAUCAGAUCUGAAAUCAAAACGAAAAAUGGCAGAUAAGUAUAUAGGAAAAUAAUGGCAGAAUUAGGGUUUAAUAACCCAAAGGGACAGGAACAGAACAGGGUUAAAGAUAGCCACAAGAAAAGACAGAACAGAAACAUAAGCACAUGGAAAUCAAAA
rnacentral:lncRNA from 1 species